rnacentral:lncRNA from 1 species
AGAUUGUGUACGGGGUGUACGCAGAGACAAGUACGGAAUCCCCCGAACAGUAGCAACAGUUUUGACCACGCGGGUCAACGGCGGUAGGGUACCUCUGCCGUAUGCGACUGUCCAUCAUAGGAAGUAAACAAACCAACCCAACCUAACCUAUCUUUCCUCAAUUCUGGAUUCAGCGUCAGCUAGUCAGCUAGUUAUUUUUAGAGGUCAUGUCGCGAGAUCUAAAAUCUUAUGCUUAUUGUUUUGUACCGGGGUGUAAAAACACUAAUAAGUCAACACCUGGUAAGUUUUUUUUCUGUGUGCCGAACAAUGAAAGUCGGAAGUUGUGGUGUUCGGCUGUCGGCAGGGAUCCAGAUUCCCUGUCUUUAAAAUCCCCACGACGUUGCUGCGAAGACCAUUUUAAGUUUGAAGAAGAUGUGGCAAAUUGGCCUUAUUAUAAAGCGUUACUAGAUGCCAACUACCCAAUGCCUGGUAUACGACUUAAAAAGGAUGCGCUUCCUAGGAAGGAUGUACAGAAACCAGCAAGCAUUCUAAUAUGUCCUGAAGAAGACUCUGGAGAAGAAGAAACUGGCUCAAUAUCAGAGAGUGAACAAGGACAUGAGGAGGAAGACCCUCUUGCUAUCUGUAAAAUACCUGCACAUUCUAUACUACUGUGUCCUGAUGAAGAUGCUGGAGGAGAGGUUGUGAUUUCAAAUAGUUCAGUGUCACAGGAACACAUUGAAAACGAUGACCCCAGUAUAUUUUGUCGAGUUCAAAUUUCAAAAAAUGAGGAUUACGAAUACGAUUUAGAAAUGAAUGAAGUUCAGAAACAAUUGGCUUUUAAGACAAAAAAUGGGUACGGAAAGAUGAGUGCUGCUGAAAACCCUCUUCAUAAUCUCUCUAUCUCAUUUUCUAACGCUGAGCUACCAGAGCGACAUAAUGAGUUGAAAUCUAGAGCCGAGAUCUCAUUACGACGGUGUGACUGAAAUGUGCCAGGUCACUACAGGAGGUCGUCCGCUGUUUUUGUGCAUUAAAGCGUGCCUUUCUGUUCUUUAAAUCCCAGGCAGCUGCACGAAGGGAGAAAGGAUGGAAAGAAGUAAAAAAGAGCAAACUGUAUGCCUGAAAUGUUUCCGAUGGUAAAAGGAUGAUAAACUUAAGAAGUGAAGGCAUUGAUGAAAAUACAAUCGAAAACUGGUUUUCUUUUAAAAUUCAGACUUUAUAAAGAAUAUUCAUUACUACAACAAUUUACACACUACAAACUUACCCUAAUAUGAUGAAAACAUUAUUGACGGCAUGGGAAUUUCAGAGGGUUGAAACGAUCCCUAAAUAGCCUUUUAAAGAUUUUCAAUCUUC